rnacentral:lncRNA from 1 species
CAAUUCUAAAUUCGUCGAUCAAAUAAAAUACUUGUGCAAAAAAAAUCUUCCUGUAUUUUAUCAGAACAAUUUCAAAAUACAAACAACCAAAAAAGAUUAAAAAAAUUAAAUUAAAUUAAUUCAAAUUUCAAAUACAUGGAACAAGAGCCACCUACGCUCUCCUAAACCCAAAACCAACCACCACCGCCGAAAACCUACCACCAUGCCAUCCUGACCAACCCCCACUACUACCACUAUCCCUGCCCCAUACCACUGAAAACCUCAACAACAUCACCAUCUAAACUUCUUUUUUUUUCUUUCGAAACCCACUAUCACAACUAAACUCAAAAAGUUUACUGAUGGAAAAAUAUUACAUGGAGAUCUCCGGGAAGAGAAAGGGGUUGCUGCUGCCGUUGCAAGUUCUGCCCAAUUACACUCGUAGUUCCGUCAAAUUACAAAUCUUUCCUUUUACUCCUCUCACCCAAUUACAGUUACGCCGGGUUGCCGUGCCGUUAUAAGUGAUGAUGGCGAUGGGUCAAAUACCAGAUCUUUUCAUUUUGUGUGGUCAAUACUUGUAAUCGUGGUGAGUGGUGACGGAGAUUUUUCGAGGGAGGUUGAGAUGGUGAAUCCUAAGUGAAAAGUAUGGAUUUCGAAGCAGAAGAAAGGAAAUCAAAUUCGUCGAUCAAAUUCGUGCCGCAAUGGUUAAUUAUCUUCAGUUCUUCAUUUCGGUUUGCUAGGUUUUGAUUUAGAAUUGGGGGAGAGAUGGUGAUCGACGAAUUUGAUUUCAUUUUGUCUGAUAUGUUUCUUUUAUUUUAAUUAGGGCUUUUAAAAUAUUGACGAUUUUGCCCCUUAUAUAAAAUGAUUUGUUUAUGUAAUGAAUAAUAAAUUAUUUUUUUUACCACGUAAGCUUGUUAAGACCCCACACAAUUAGCCACGUCAGCAAUUUUUGACGUGGCGUGUUCAAUUUGGU